CAUAAGAUUCAUAUGUGCUUACCUUUAGUGUAAAUUUGCUGUUCUAAUAACCUCCACUCCUCAACAAGCUCCACUAGAUUUUGGAGUGUGUUUGUGGAGAUUUGUUUACUCAGCCACAAGGCCGUUAUUGAGGUUGAGGUCGGAGCUCUACGGCAGGCCACUCAAGAUAUCUGUAUGAAUCUGGCUUUGUGCACACGGACUUUGUCAUUCUGGAACAGGUUUGGACCUCCUUGUUCAAAUCCAUAUAAUGUAUUAUUUACAUUUAUGUAAAAAAAAACAAUUCUAAGCCCAAAACAGGUGUCAAACUGUGGAUGGCAAAUAUUUGCCUGAAUAUAACGUGUGAAACGAUAUUAUUCAUCACCACAUUAUUAACACACAUGUUCUGGAAAACCAUUCUUUUUCCUAAAAUGUGUUUAGUUGUUUAGUCUGUUAGGGGUGAAAUAAAGACAUUCCAAAACAGAAUAUCGCCCUCCUCGGUUGCUUUUAUUUCCCAAGCACUUAAUGCAUGUAGCAAACUGGCUUGGAAUCAAAGGAAUGUUCAGAUAAAACCUGACUGGCUCCAAGAAACAAAACAUUCUUCAGUUGCCUUCCAUCUCUUCUGAUCCACUUGAACAAAAGGAACGCGGAAUGUGAAACACUGGCCUAAUUCUGGAGAUUAUUCUGAGGUUUUAUGCUCCGAAGUUAUUACUGGAUCUACAGGGACAGACCAGAGAGGAAGAAAAGCAGUCACACAGUGCUGUGUGCAGAUAUAAGCCGUAAGUAAGAAGUUCAUUAUAUCCUGAGUAUUUUCUGUUCAUUAGAACAAACACUGGGCAUUUCUCAGCAGGGGCAGUAGUAUAUUAGUCUUACAUCUUCAGGGUCCAUGAAUUGAUUUAAAUCUUGGGUUGCUGUUUGUUUUGGUGCAAAGGAGAAAACCAGAGAACCUGGAUGAAUCCUGACCUCAUCAGUGAACCGAUUUAGCAUGCAUACUAUCAGUAGGAGAAUUCCGAGGAUGGACCUGCCAGGAAGGAGGAAAACUGACCAAGGAGGAGGUUUAUGGAUGUGGUGAAGGAAGACAUGCAGGUAGUUGGUUUGAAAGAAGCAGAUGUAGAGGACAGGGGGGUAUGGAGACGGAUGAUCCGCUGUGGUGACCCCCUAAUGGGAGCAGUCGAAAGAAGAAGAAGAUUUAACAUGCAUACAGCUACAUAUUAUAUGUAUUUAUUACAGCUAUAAACAAAUGAUAGAUCGACAACUGCAUUCAAAUCGUUUUUUCAUAUUCCAAGCAGCAUAUUCUUUGAUGCGACUUUUCAUUAUUGUUAGAGGUCUAGACUGACCAGAGGAGCACUCUUGGAUGUCAAUUGUGCAUAAAAUUCAAGUCAAGUCGAAUAAACAAUUGCGUAUUGAUGUAAUGAAUUUUGAAGAAAAGAUGAAAGUGAAUGAUUUUUUAAACAUCUUUGAACAGACUUACUGUAUAAUUGUGUUUGUCAUACUGGCUAUUGUUUGAUGUAUUUAUAAUUGUAUACAUUUUCACAUGCACAUGAGUGUGGGAAUAUAUACAAUACAUGAGAGAGUAGCAUUAUUAUAGCCGUACACAAUUUACCAUUACAUUUUCUUAUUAUAUUAUUUUAUAGAUUGAAUAAAUGUUACACUGUAUUUUGGCAGGCUCUAGCCUGUCAGUGCUGAAGAAUGCAGUUUUAGAAUUGUACAGGUCAACAGUUUUGGAAGUGCCAAAGGUCAAGAUGAACCACUAGAAGACUUUCAAAAAUUGCAUGAAAGUAUUUCUUUGCAUUCUGAAUGUCACCAAUCCUUAUUAAAACUGCAACUCAAAGAC